GUUGAGUUCUCUGUUUGGGAGAAGACACCUCUACAUGUGGGGCACACGUGACCACCUGGUGCAUAGAUGUGGCAUCUGAACCAAUGAUGGAAGGAAAUGCACUGAACGCUGUUGAAGUAGUUACCUUUGACUAUCCAUGUGAGUUGAUGUUCAUCAGACCUUUUGAAAUGUAAGUGGGUGAGAUGUUGCACGAUUUAACAUAUGUGACAUGUGAUACUCUAGUUGUAGCCAUUGUUUGAUCUUUUAACCAUUAGAAUGGCAUAGAUGUGGUUGGAUUAUUUCCAGGUUUUGAAGUUAUCAGAUGAAAUGGUUUGUAACAGUUCUGAUACAGCCAUUUUUUUUUUCUGGCAACAUGUCAGAUGUUUAUGAGUAUCUAAUCCGUGCAAAAGGUGGGCCACACCAUGAUGGUUACCUAAUAUGAAUAUAAGGUGGAAGUAGUCAUUGAGUGGGACACCAAAAUUCAUGUACAGCUAAUGGUAUGACUCUGUACACUCAUUUGGCUGGCACUCCAUGUGAGCGCUGAAUUGGUUUGUAAAAUCCAUGAUAAUUUUUUCAGUGGAAAUGUUUGAAAGCUUAUAUUUUUUACUCACACAUAAGAAAUCACAUGUUUUUAUUUUUUUUAUUUUAUUUUAUGUUUGCAUUUGUGGACAACUCGUGAGCAUGCUUUCAAUUGAAAAGGGCUCAAGGGAACUUGACUCUUUGAAGGUCUUUUAUCUUCAAUGUUUGACAUUUCUCCCUCCUAUAAAUUUUGUUUUCAUUUGAAUGCUAUAAAUAAAUUAUGGUGGUGAUUGUAACGGUCUUUUUUAGGAUUCUUUUCGGUGGGAAGAAGCCAGCUGUGAGUGUUUAAACUAUGUUGCAUCUCUCUCCAUCAUGUUGUUAUUUCUCUCUAUUUUAUUUUUCAGUGGGCUUCUUUCCAUUGCAUAUACACUAGGUAUAUUCUUUCCUUCUGACUGUGCAUUCGCUGGAGAAAUAGGAUGGCUAGGAUUGUUUGGUGGGAACACUUUGUUUUGUAUUGCCUAUUAACAGGGGGGAAUCACCCGAUGAGCUGUCUGGGUCGCUUAUAGGUGGGCUCCGCCAAUACUAAAUGUUGGCCUGAAUGAAAAUUCCAGUAGUCUCAGACCA